AGGUGAUCUUAAUGUUCUCAAUAGGAAGUUAGCGGAAUCGAGUUUCAGAACAAAAUUUGUGUUGCUUUUAACCAGUGUACGUGGGUCUGAUUGUGCAACUACGGUUCGAAGAAUGAUGAAGAAGAUAGGAACAAACGGCCUUUGGUCAUUAUACAGCCUAAAAGGACAAAAGAAGAAAUUAGCAUUUCUAGAAAAACAAGAACUAUAUAAUGUUAUUUUAAAAUCAUCUAUCAACGCACAUCCGCAAGUUAAGGUGGAAGACGUGACCUUUCAAAUUUCUGAAGUACUUAAACAUGCUCCAAACAGG